AGAGGGAAAAACGAAAAUAAAAGGAGUAGAAAAGCAAGAAGGAAGAAGCCCGUGUCAGGGCCUGUGGAACCCACCACAUUUCAGGGUGCCUCUGGUUGUUACCAUGGUUGUUGGUUUCCAGUGGCCAUCCUUGAAGUUGAGAGCACAUUUCUGUUAUUUUUGUACAUAUGUAUGUGGUGGUCUCUGUGUGGGUUGACUAAGACCCACUGGUGAAUGUCCGGUACUAAGGUCAGAAUUUAUGACCCAUAAAUUCUCAGCAUUUUUCUUCUCAAGACUGGGCAUGUUUACACAAAAUCUAAAUAUCUUAUACAAAAGGUUGCAGAGACUUCAUUUGACCUUGUGGUGAAUUUAUCAGAAUAUGGUUGCAAGUCUAGAAAGUAGGCCCUGUCUACAUAGGACAUAAGGAAUCCAGAGGUGGAGGGUUGAAGGUCUAGGAGGAUCUGAAAUAUGGGCAUUGCUAGGAUAGGGCACUGCAAUAAGAUGUCCAAGCUGGCAUUAAGCCUUGAGUUUGUGGCCACUGGGUGCCCACAGUUUCAGGUCAGAGCAUGGCCACAUGUGACAAUGGUUAACUUGCUCACUUUGCCAUUUUUCCAGGGGUAGAUUUACCCACCUGACUUCCCAGAGGACUUUCCAGGCAGUGCACAGAGCAUCAGUGGACUCCCAUCUGAUAACAAGACUCCUGGAAUUCUGGUGGAUGGAGAGGCCCUCCCCUUUCCAGCAUGGGAGAGCCAAAUCCAGUGGGGAGGAGUUCAACCCAGGACCUUCCCUGUCCCCUCCCCUGCUUUAGCUGUGUUUUCUCCCCAUUCCCCACCUGGGUGCACCCCAUGUUCACCCAGAUCCUGCAGCCACCACACCUGUCCUCACUGAGCAUUUAUAUUACCUGAGCUAUCCCAGUGCAAAUAAUGGAAAAGAAAAGUAUCCUCUCCCACUGAAUUCAGUCAAGACAAUCAAGAAUUUUUCUUAUAAAGAUUGUUUGAUGGCACAAGAAGAUGAAAGAUUGGAUUCCUAAAGAGAAAAUGACUGGGCCAAAGAUUAUGAAAGUUUUCCAGGUUCAAGAGGCAUAUGGCUCAAUUUCCCUCCCAGUGGUGAUUUUAAUACAACACUUAAAAAAAAGUCCUCCCAAAACAGCAACAACAAACCUGUCAUUAAGAUUUCUGGAAUCUCCAUUAACAGGAAGAGGAAACAAGGUACUCUCUGCACCUGCUCCAUGCAGAACAUGCCCUAUUUAAGGACAGACCUGACUCUUAAUGGUCUGUAUCAGAUGCUCAACUUGACCUAGUUGAAAGGAUGGGACAUCAGUGCCCCCAGGAACCUGACUCUGGAAGUUGCUGUGCUCCUGGGGCGAUAAGAAGUCACUCCAGUGACCAUCUUGCUUGACCCCUGAACUUCUGGAUCUGAGCUUCUAGAAGCCCAUGUGUGUAACAGACUGAAUAUGCUGUUUUGCUCUGAAGUGGACUUAUAGUGCUUGAUUGGGGGAGAACGUGUGUCUGCACGACAUUGCCACACCUGAGGCAGACAUUGCCAAUCAAUCACAGAACUCCGCAGUCCAGCAGCUUUCUCAUCGUAGCUGUACUUGAUCUUGGAGAAUUCAUGGGGUUUGUCUUUACAACUGCCUGGGCCUCCGUGUCUGAAGACCACAUCAUCACUUGCAAACAGUUGAAACCAAGAAACUUCAAAUCUUUAGAAGUGAAGACUGGAUGUCAAAAGUCAGCUGUAGGGACUGCUCCUGACGAACUGGGGUGCCCUGUCAUAGGCAGACUAAUGCCCCCCAAAGAUGUCCACGCCCUAAUCCCUGGAUCCUGUGUAUAAGGCAGGUUAUGUGGCAAAGAUGCAAUUAAUAUUGCUAGGGAGAUUACCCUGGACUACUGGAGUGUGUUCAGUGAAGUCAGAAGGGUCCUUCACUGUGGAAAAGGGAAGCAGAAGAGAAAGUCAGAGUGAUGCACUGUGAAGACUAGAGACCUUGAACUGCUGUUUCUGGCCUUGGGGAGGGAGGAAGAGGGCCAGGAGUACAGGAAUGUGCGCAGCCUUUAGAAGCUGGAAAGGUCAAGGAAAAAAAAAUCGUCCCGAGUCUCCAGAAAUGAAGGCAGCCCUAACAGCAUCUUGAUCGCAGCCCUGUGAGACCCAUUUUGGAUUUCUGACAUCCAGAACAGUAAGAUAAUGAAUUUGUAUUGUUUUAAGCCAUUGAAUUUGAAGUCAUUUUGCUACAGCAUCAUGCCCUAACUGCUCUCCUGGAGGAGAGAGAGAAUACUAUCAGAAUUUUCCCUAUUCAGAAAUGACCUGCCAGUAAAUCCAAUGUGGACUCAGAAGACUCAAAUCAGAUGAGUGCAGAUGUACGAACACGGACCUGCACGUUGUAGUUACUCAGCGCUCCUCCCCAUCUGAAGCAGGGAGGGUCCCGCCCUUCUCCCUAAGCCUGGCCAGGAGCUAGCACACUGGCGUGUGAAAUCUGUUUUUUCUCUUGCAGAAUGAGAGGGCUGGAUUAAAGGACCUCAUUGGUCCCCUCCAGCUCUACAGAUUCUAUGGCUCUACAAGUUCUUAGCCUUUAAAGCAAUUGAUAAAGUAACAACAGGGAUACUUCUGCUUCUGUCUGUUCCACAAUGGGUCCCAUCAAGCAAGAUAAGGGAGGCUUUUCCAGCCAUUGAGCUGGGAGCCCAGUCCUUCAUACCAGGAGAAGAAGGGGGAAAACAAUGAGUGUCAUUCCAGACAACCCCAGCCCUCCCCAGGCUGUAUUCUCCUUCAGCCUCCCCUGCUCCACCUGAAAGGCAGCAGCCACAGGCUGACAAGUUCACAGGCACUGCCACAGGCACUGCCACAGGGAAGGUGUGAGCAGCGGCUGCCCCCACUGCCAGGCUGCUGAAACACUGAGGCUCAAGUGGCUGAGGCUGCAGCUCCAUGGUUACUGCUUACAGGGGGCCCCAGGCUGAGCCUCCCAUUGAAGCAGUGUUAUAUUUUUGGCUUUUCUUAACUAUGUCUGCAAUAAACUACAGGCUUUGGGCCUGCAAAGCGUGAUGUUGUAUUUCACUAAACCCCAAAGAUCCCAAUCGCUGCACGGUGCCGACUAAGGGUUUCUUAAGGGUGAUACAUUUCCUGAAUGAAUUACAAUAACUUUCAUUUCCCAAGCUGGACAACUCUGGGUAUGUGCCACACUGGUGCACAGUGACGCUGGAGCUGGGCCUCCCACCUGACUUUUGUGGGGAGCCAUUUGCUUUGGCUGAGUCUUUCUGGAGUUUUGCUGUUGAAAUUCUCUCUCUGCCUUCAUGGUAAAUACCCUUUCGGACUUCAUCCCAGGCUUAAAACCAGGGUAAGUUUACUCCUAGGUUUGAUUCAGCUGCAUCUUGUUUCGAUGGAAACCCACAAGCACAGUUCUAUAUUACUACUACCCAGCCCACCUUUCACCAGCAACUUUAAAGUAGAUUUUCACCUUCCCAGGGCAUUAACCUUUGACUUUGAGAAGCUGAAGUGGCUUUGUAGAUGCAUACUAUCCCUAUGCAAAGAAUUCACAAAGAGCCACAUCUGAAAUAGCCAUUUUAUACCAUAUGGUCUUCAGACCUUUAGACGUUCCUGUGUCAAUGCCGGCAUCUUGCCAGUGUGUGGGCCUCAUCAGCUCCCAGCUGCACUUCACUCUUUGGUGAUCUCACGUGAGGAUAUUCCAAUUAGUUUUUUCAUUAACCCUUUGAAAUUGUAUUGUCAUUCCUGGAUUUAUAGUGAGGAAACUUAUACAAUUAAAUGUAUGAAGAUGUCUCCAAAUUCUAGGAUUAUUUACAUAUUCCCCCCCAAAAUGCAGUGGUUUUGUGUUCUUAGUAGACCCAAGCUCUUUUGUAGGCUUAAGAAUUUUCAAAAAAAUUUUGGCCGCUAGAGGGAGCCAGCUCUUUGAAGAACUGAGGCUGUUUCUCCUGUCUGUGGGUAUAGACAGAGGAAUUCCUGUGUGUUUUAAAAUGGUAUCUAGGGCAGACCUAACAGGUGGCCAAUGAAGGGGGAAAUUCCCAUGCUCAUCCCCAGCACAGACUUCAGUGAACAACUUUCACCAUCACCCACAGCUCCCCCAUCCAUGGUCACACAUACCAUUCAAAGCAUAGAUACUUUUUACAUAGCCUUUGGCAGCUUAACUUUAAAAUUAAAAUCUUCUUUGUCUUUCUCCUUGAAGGUAAACUUUGUGGAGACAAAGCUUAAUACAUUGUUAGAAUGGAUUCUGUAUAAAAAUAUAGACUCCCAAAUAUUUCUUUUUAAAAAAUAUUUACUUAUUUAUUUAUUUAGCUUUUUAC